CCCAUUUCCUAUCAAGAGAGCCAUUUGGCUCCUCUCUUAAGCUCAGCAGCCCUGAGGUGUGGUAGCCUCACGCUGACCCAUACAGAACUCAACAGAACUGUCCCUGCUGCAGAAGUCUCAGGGCUCUGCCCCAACUGCGUAGACUUCUUUCAUGGAACCGGCUCCUCUAUCCCCACACGGCUUCUCCCCAGCACAGCUUCUACCUAGAAUCAGACGGAGAGCUUUAGACCACAGGCAGAAAGAACUCAAAGCUCAGAUGGUCGGGGUCCUAUUGGUUCAUCAAGCUCAGCCUGCCUGGAGGCAGCCACUGUGUUGUUCCCUCUCUUCGUCCUCCCUCUGCACUCUCUCUUGCCACGGGACAUUUGCACAAGCAGUUCCCUCUAACUGGAACACUAAGAAAUAUGGAAGUAAAAGGGGUUGGGAGAAAAGACAGGAGUCACAGGUGACUGUGUGGGAUGAG
rnacentral:lncRNA from 1 species